rnacentral:lncRNA from 1 species
GUGAGAACUUUUAAGUCCCAAAAGAGAUACUUUAUCAAUGUAACCAUGAGAGAUGCACUCGAUUGAUGCCCUCUGCCUUAGUUUGAGAAUCUUUUCAAGUUUGGCGUUUACUUGGGAGGGGGGAUUUGUGGUGUGCUAAGCAUAAUUGCACAGUGUAUAAUUAAAGAUAAUAGGGGCAUUAAGACCCCACGUCUUGAUUUUUGAAGAGAAAGGAGAUUUCAUCAAACAGUGGCAUGCAAAUGUUUCGGGGUGCAAAGACCUGAUUGGUUGUCGCAGGCGGGUCUAGAGUACAAAUUUACUUUGUGAGAAAUUAUGUAGUUCAUUCUUUCCCACACAAGACCAUUGCUUCACUUGCUCCUGAUACUAAGACAAAGGAUCAAGAUGAUAUCUGUGGUGCUAUUGAUGUGCAUGCUGGGCUACUCCCUGGCUGCUCCAGCUCCUGAUAGUGGAAGCGAUGAGCAGGUUGCAGCACACGCCAACGAGGCCCUGAGGUGGAUGGAGCUCUACAGAAAGUAUGGUUCCCUCGGACAACAGGCAGCACCAGCUCAGCUCUCAAUGCCCCGCUAUGGCGGCUAUGGCAGCUACUAUCCCUACCCUGGCCAGGCUGCCCCUGCUGCCCCAGCCGUCCCUCUGAACUCUGACGAGGUUGGAGAGGACGCGGCUGCCGCUGAAGCCGAGGCUGAGCCAGCAGUGGACGUUGCAGCUGAGGAACCAGCAGUUGUGGACACCACCUCGCCUGUAGACCCAGCCGCUGCAGCUCCUGUCGACCCGGCCGUGGAGGUGCCUGUCAAUGUUGUUAUACCCGCUGCCGUCGACAUCCCCGCCACCAUUGACGCUGACGUCGUUGUUGUCGAUCCUGCUCUCAUAGCGCCAAACGACACCACCAUGGUGGCUGGGCCCUCAGACUCCGCCCUCCAUGUUAUGUAGGCGCCACGGCAACAGUCGCCAGCUUGCUCCUGUGUCGAGCCAGGAAGACAUUCCCUCCCGUAGUUAUAGUAACAAAAAGGUGGAAACAACAGUGAUGGAAAAGGGGCAGGGUAGGAGCAGAGAAGUCUAUGGUACGGCUACCUGAAUAGGGACAAAAUUAAUUUGGCGAAUAUGUGGGAUCUAUGUGAACCUCCAUGUAUAAAUGAGCCUGUACUGUCAUUGUGCAGUCACAAAAAAUAUGAUGAUUCAGUCUUUUCUCUUUGUGCUUUUCUCAUUCUAUAAAUAAAAAUGCCUGUUGAGAUACUGCACUUGAUGUUCUUUGUUAUCAGCAGAAAAAUUACAAUGUUUUAUGAUGUGAUACUUCACAUUACGUUGGAACAAGAGACAAAAUGUGUACCCCAUUUCAAUUGUCAAGCCACGUCCUCCUUAGAUAAUGUUACUAUCCAGGUCAAAAGUUUCCCGGGAAGCCUCAUCUCCCAUUCAACCAAUGGAAAAAACGAAGUUAUCUUAACAUCAGCAUUGCCGGGCCUCAGCACUUACUAGUAGCCGCCAAUGUGCACCUUCGGAAUGUCAUAAAAAAAAUGUACAGUCUAAUAAAUCAAUUUUAAUAUAAAUCCCAAAUAAAUCCAUUACUUCAUUCAGGCAGGUCUUAAAAAAAGAUUAUCAUACUAAAAUAAUGUAUUUCAAAAGAACAGAAUAGCAUAUUUUGAGUUUAAUGCAUGUAAAUAUGCUUAGUAGGCUAUGGCCUAUGGCUAUGUGCCUUGCCAAUAAAUCAACUACUUAAUUUGUUCAUUUAGCAGACAAGACACACUUGUAUUACCCUGCCCUUAUCACAGUCAGCAUACAGUAGGUCUACAUAUGUUUUAUAGUGAGAAUAUAAUAUGAAUAUAACAGAAUAGUAUAGAAAGGAUAUUUUUCCCAAACAAGAUUUGUUUGGCAAAUGUUGUUUGGCAAAUGUAGGUGUUAGAAACUUUAGAUUCUGCUCAUUCCGAUGCUCUAUAGAAAUCAAAACAUCUGGACUGCAUGCAUUUGAAAAGAUAGUUUGGCCUGGACGUUGAACUUGAGCUUGGUUAACGACACUGCGAUUGGCUCAGCCAGUCAAUUAAAUGCUAGUCAAUUAAAUGCACCAAAUUCUCGGGCGGAGUUUGACAAUGGGUCAAUUAGCACAUAAAGGUUAUCGCUACCUUACUUAAAGUGAUAGUUCACAGAAAAUGCAAGGCAAGGCAACACGAUAAGACAACAAAAAUCGAUUGUUUAGCUUAAAAAGGCUACUUUAAGAUGAUUUGGACUAAAUAUGCUAAUGUCGGGGAUAUUGACUUGUAUUGGUUUUUGGACAAAAAUGCAAAUAUCUUAGCAUUUGCAGACAGUGGCCAGAUAAACGCAAACAAACUAAGUUUGUCUACUUUGCCAAUGAAGUAAUCAUUAAAAUAAUCUGAAUCUG